rnacentral:misc_RNA from 1 species
AAAAAACUUAUUGCAUAAUAUAUAGUGAUCAUUAUCUACAUCGUCAUCAUUUGCAACAUCAUUUGAAACGAUUCCUUGUUACAACUCAGAGUCCUAGUCCCUGCCGUAAUCUUAAAUAUUAAACAAUUACUUCCCACGCGGUGUAAACAACCACCCCCACCAGACCCUUGACCUUCCAUAUUUAUAUAUCUCAUCUGCAAAUUUCCUAACUCAUUUUCUUAUCUUAAUUUUGUUU